AACGAACGCUGGCGGCAUGCCUAACACAUGCAAGUCGAACGAGACCUUCGGGUCUAGUGGCGCACGGGUGCGUAACGCGUGGGAACCUGCCCGUAGGUUCGGAAUAACUCCCCGAAAGGGGUGCUAAUACCGGAUAAUGUCUUCGGACCAAAGAUUUAUCGCCUUUGGAUGGGCCCGCGUUGGAUUAGCUAGUUGGUAGGGUAAAAGCCUACCAAGGCGACGAUGCAUAGCUGGUCUGAGAGGAUGAUCAGCCACACUGGGACUGAGACACGGCCCAGACUCCUACGGAAGGGAGCAGUGGAGAAUAUUGUACAAUGGGCGAAAGCCUGAUCCAGCAAUGCCGCGUGAGUGAUGAAGGCCUUAGGGUUGUAAAGCUCUUUUACCCGGGAUGAUAAUGACAGUACCGGGAGAAUAAGCUCCGGCUAACUCCGUG
rnacentral:rRNA from 1 species